GUGAGGUUCAGCUGCAGAACACUUUGACCCAUAAUAGCAAAAUUCUGCAGACACCUGGAGCCACCCAAGGCAGCCAUUAGUCUAGAGCCUGGGUCUAGUGUGCCCGACCCUCCCGGGCCUCCUCCUACAGCCCUGCUCACUCAUGGGCCUCCCUAAGACACUUCCCACCAGGAUCCAGGUCCUGGACUCUGGAAAUCAAUCAUCCCCAGCCCAUGAAAGCUGACUCAUCCUCAGGAGGAAUGUCACAGUAGGCUAUGCCUGGCCACAAGGGGUGCUCUGGGCCCCGGGGUCAGGGAGAGGAGAGCCUGGCCCCGGAGCGGGGUGCACCUGUGUGUCAGCUGACCCAGGAAGGAGAAAGUGUGAUGGAAACAUGGAAGUGAAAUUCUGGAUGGAGGGGCCAUAACAAUCCCUUCAA